GAUGAACGCUGGCGGCGUGCUUAACACAUGCAAGUCGAACGAUGAAGCCCAGCUUGCUGGGUGGAUUAGUGGCGAACGGGUGAGUAACACGUGAGUAACCUGCCCUUGACUCUGGGAUAAGCCUGGGAAACUGGGUCUAAUACUGGAUAUGACUUCUCAUCGCAUGGUGGGGGGUGGAAAGAUUUAUUGGUCUUGGAUGGACUCGCGGCCUAUCAGCUUGUUGGUGAGGUAAUGGCUCACCAAGGCGAUGACGGGUAGCCGGCCUGAGAGGGUGACCGGCCACACUGGGACUGAGACACGGCCCAGACUCCUACGGGAGGCAGCAGUGGGGAAUAUUGCACAAUGGGCGCAAGCCUGAUGCAGCGACGCCGCGUGAGGGAUGACGGCCUUCGGGUUGUAAACCUCUUUCAGUAGGGAAGAAGCGAGAGUGACGGUACCUGCAGAAGAAGCGCCGGCUAACUACGUG
rnacentral:rRNA from 1 species